rnacentral:rRNA from 1 species
AGAUUGAACGCUGGCGGCAUGCCUUACACAUGCAAGUCGAACGGCAGCACGGGAGCAAUCCUGGUGGCGAGUGGCGAACGGGUGAGUAAUACAUCGGAACGUGCCCAAUCGUGGGGGAUAACGCAGCGAAAGCUGUGCUAAUACCGCAUAAGAUCUACGGAUGAAAGCAGGGGAUCGCAAGACCUUGCGCGAAUGGAGCGGCCGAUGGCAGAUAGGUAGUUGGUGAGGUAAAGGCUCACCAAGCCUUCGAUCUGUAGCUGGUACUGAGAGGACGACCAGCCACACUGGGACUGAGACACGGCCCAGACUCCUACGGAGGCAGCAGUGGGGAAUUUGGACAA